GACGAACGCUGGCGGCGUGCUUAACACAUGCAAGUCGAACGAUGAACCCGGAGCUUGCUCUGGGGGAUUAGUGGCGAACGGGUGAGUAACACGUGAGUAACCUGCCCUGGACUCUGGGAUAAGCUUUGGAAACGACGUCUAAUACCGGAUAGGACCUUGGAUCGCAUGAUCUGGGGUGUAAAGUUUUUUCGGUCUGGGAUGGACUCGCGGCCUAUCAGCUUGUUGUUGAGGUAAUGGCUCACCAAGGCGUCGACGGGUAGCCGGCCUGAGAGGGUGACCGGCCAGACUGGGACUGAGACACGGACCAGACGCAUACGGGAGGAAGCAGUGGGGAAUAGUGCAAAAUGGGCGAAAGCCUGAUGCAGCAACGCAGCGUGCGGGAUGACGGCCUUCGGGUUGUAAACCGCUUUUAGUAGGGAAGAAGGGCUUCGGCUUGACGGUACCUGCAGAAAAAGGACCGGCUAACUACGUG
rnacentral:rRNA from 1 species